GGAAAGAAGAGGGAUAUAAUUUCCAACCCAGGAGGGAAAGAAGUGGUGGGAGUAGGGAUAAUGUGUCAAUCCAACAAGGCAGGAAAAGGAAAAAGAACUAAAGGAAAACUAGUAAAGAGAAAACAAAGAGUAACACGACCCCAGAUGCAUCAGGGUAAAGGGUUAUACUCGUAUGUUAAACAACUACCAGAUAAAAGGCAAAUAACGAGUGGUCUGAAGCCUGGAGAGACUGGUCAGUGGGCACAGGGGCUGAACAGGAACCACCCUGGCCUUCGCCAUAGAAGUGGUUCUGUUCUUUAAAUAACUUGUUUUUCCCUUGUGCUAUAUUCUGGCCUCUCCUCAAUUGUUUCUGUCUGGGUUUGCCUUGCUACUGAGAUAGUAUUGUUUUUCCAGACCGCUUCCUGCCUUCUGUAUAUACGUAUAACAAAACCCUGGAUUCUGUCCUGCCACAGGACACCAACACACCAUGCAGGGACUCGUUUAAGGGCAGGUGUGGUGCAGCGCCGAGACCCUGCACCCCCCGUCCCCCUGCCCUGCUGCUUGCCCAUGCCCCAGGACUCAGCAUCCCUCCCUUGGAGCCUGUUUCUUAGGGUGCACCAUCGAUCCUCUCGCAAUGAAGACUGAUGGUUUAUUUCUCCCGGGCUUAUUGGAAAGUUAGCCAGGCUGGAAGAGCUGUAUUAGCUCUUGCUUUCUGGUUUCCUGGCUGCCAACUCUGGACAGCGUCAGCAGUCCUGGAGCUGAGAUCUCAGACUGAACAUCCAGUCAGAGUGAGGUGUCCUGCAGUAAGACGGGCUCCUGAAGCAGACACUGCCGGAGGGGUUGUAACUGGGGAGCAAGGGGGCCUGAGUCACUAGGAUAACUGAGGGGUCUGUGCCAGAGGCUGGUGCCAGUGUGUGGCAAUGGAUGAGUUCAGGCAGCCAGGCAUGCAGAGGUCAAGCCAGCCGUUCUCAGAUCAAGGACGUGGGCUCCAGUUCAGUGAGAAGGGGGGUUGUCGGGUCCCUCCCUCCGCAUCUUGACUGAUUCCCACCCCCACCCCCCAGGCAUCUGCUGUUGCCACACCCAGGAGGCAGGCAAUUUGCUGGGUUGCUCGGUGGCCAGGUUCUGGGACACAGGGAGCACUUUGAUUAUUGUACCCCAGUAAGUGGGAAAAGCCUCUCUGUAAGGAAGGCAGUGAGAGCCUGUGGAGGGAGCCCUGGCCUUGGAGCCAUCAGCCCUGGGAUGGCAUUAAAGCUCCGUCCCUCACCGCCUGGCUGACCUCGUUCGGCUGUCUUGGGACUUCUGUGAAUACCGAAUGAGAGGCUGUGCCUGUGAAUGCUCAGAAACGCGGAAAGCAUCACACAUGUGAGUACUAAUCUGUGGCUUGAUGCCUUUCCGUUGAGGCUCUGAGACACAUCCUUAGGCCGCGUGUCUGGGUGGAAAGAGCGAGCUUUAUCAGAGUCUCGGGCUGGGAUUUUCUUUCCUUCUGUCCAACCCCUCCAGCUUCAAGCAGCCGCCCUCCCCCCAGCCUCUGCUCCUUAUUUUGACGUUUCUUUUCUCUGCCUGCCAAGAAGAUUGUGUUCAGCUGCGCUGGUCUGAGGCUGUGCUAUCCUGUGCUUCAUUAGGUUAAUUCGAUGGCUUGUCUCCUGGGAACGGACCAGAGACUGGCUCUAAAACCGCACUCGCCUCCAAAACCCAGUUCCCACUGUUCUCCUUUGGGGCUGGCUUUGCUGCUCAGUUCCAUAUGCCUGCUUUUCCUUUCUUCCACCUGCAAGCUGGCUAGGGCCUCCUUUGGCUUCCCUUGGUUCUUUGUAUUGGUGUAGUUGUUCAGGCUUGCAUCCCCUGCUGGGUAGAAGGCUCUAGGGGAGACCAACAACAGUUCCUCAAGCCUGCCCUCGACCUUCUGGAUUCUAGUCGCCAGUUCCUCUGUUCAGCCUCAGCAUCUUGAAUUCAGCAAGCCUUUCAGAGGGCAUUUAUCAUUAAACGGUAUCACCAGAUUUGCUGGCUUUGCGACCACAGCCUUCUUGGAUGACCCUAGCAUUGCCUUGCCUCCCACCAAAUCCCCGUUUCUCUCCUCUCUCAGAGGAUUGCUUCUCAUCUAUCUCUGUAAAUCUCCAACCGCAACUGUAAAGGUGCAUCACUCCCCGUGCCUGAGCCCGGGCUCCGCUUCGCCUCCUGCUAGCCUGCUCUGACCUCAUCCAUGAGCUUCAGACAUCUGCGUCCUGCUGCCUGUUGCCAUUUCCACACGGAUAUUUAAAGGGCAUCUCAGAUUUAACCUGUUGUAAACAGAACUCUCGGAGAAGGCAAUGGCGCCUGUACUCUUGCCUGGAAAAUCCCAUGGACCGAGGAGCCUGGUGGGCUGCACUCCAUGGGGUCACGAAGAGUCGGACACGACUGAGCGACUUCACUUUCACUUUUCACUUUCAUGCAUUGGAGAAGGAAAUGGCAACCCACUCCAGCAUUCUUGCCUGGGAGAAUCCCAGGGACGGCGGAGCCUGGUGGGCUGCUGUCUAUGGGGUCGCACAGAGUCAGACACGACUGAAGCGACUUAGCAGCAGCAGCAGCAAACAGAACUCUUGUUGAUUUUUUUUUUUUCUCUCACCCAAAUCCAUUUCUUUCCUGACUUUCUGUAUGAAUGAAUGGCAGCCCCACCACCCUCCAUCUAUCCCAUCAGUUUAAUCCUUCAGAAUACAUCCAGCCACUCAACACCUCCAUUGCCUGGGAUAUUGGAGUAGCUCCUCUCUGGUCCCCUGCUAGUCUUAUGCAGCAACCAGAGUAGUCCCUUAGCAAAAAAUGUUUUAACC
ensembl:lncRNA